rnacentral:rRNA from 1 species
UACGGAAGGCAGCAGUGGGGAAUAUUGCACAAUGGGCGCAAGCCUGAUGCAGCCAUGCCGCGUGUAUGAAGAAGGCCUUCGGGUUGUAAAGUACUUUCAGUCGUGAGGAAGGUGUUAAGGUUAAUAACCUUAGCAAUUGACGUUAGCGACAGAAGAAGCACCGGCUAACUCCGUGCCAGCAGCCGCGGUAAUACGGAGGGUGCGAGCGUUAAUCGGAAUUACUGGGCGUAAAGGGCACGCAGGCGGUUAAUAAGUUGGAUGUGAAAUCCCCGGGCUUAACCUGGGAAUGGCAUUCAAGACUGGUUAGCUAGAGUCUUGUAGAGGGGGUAGAAUUCCAUGUGUAGCGGUGAAAUGCGUAGAGAUGUGGAGGAAUCCGGUGGCGAAGGCGGCCCCUGGGACAAAGACUGACGCUCAUGUGCGAAAGCGUGGGGAGCAAACAGGAUUAGAUACC